UACGGGGGGUGCAAGCGUUAAUCGGAAUGACUGGGCGUAAAGGGUGCGUAGGUUGUUGUAUAAGUUGUCUGUAAAAUCCCUGGGCUUAACCUGGGCAGGUCAGAUGAAACUGUACGACUCGAGUAUGGGAGAGGGUAGUGGAAUUUCCGGUGUAGCGGUGAAAUGCGUAGAGAUCGGAAGGAACAUCGGUGGCGAAGGCGGCUACCUGGCCUAAUACUGACACUGAGGCACGAAAGCGUGGGGAGCAAACAGG
rnacentral:rRNA from 1 species